GCUAUGAUGAAUUUUCAAUCUUUAGUCGGAUACCCCUUCACUCUUAAUUAUGAGUGAGAGAUCCAGUCUGAGAAGC
ensembl:snoRNA